rnacentral:lncRNA from 1 species
ACAGGGGCAAGUACAGAGAUGAGAACAAUGUUAAAGGGAUUAUAGUGUUCACAAUACUACAUUGGAAUUGUAUGAGAUAAUUGAGUUAAGAUUGAUAUAAGCAGCAUGGAAUAAAGCAAAAUAGUUUGGGAAAUCUUACCCCAAAUGACAAGUUUUAAAGAAAUAGCUUCUUUUUUGUAAUCAACUCUCAAUUAUUUACAGCACAAUAUCCUCAUUAAUGAAUUAUUCUUCGCUUUUACUAUCCUUUUGUCCAGUUCGUGGCCAUUUUUCUUCUAAUUAGAAAUUCCAUACUAAUGUCAGAGAGUUGAUAAAGAAAAAAGAAGUAAAAAUUAAGAUUUGUCUUCUUCAUGAGUUUAUUCCUCGCUCAUUCCAGUUGACAUGUUUAAAUUCUGAUCUGGAGUAUUUCCAAAAUUACCCAAUUUUAAAAUGUCAUAUUCUUUUUAAUUAACUGGCAAAUUAAUUGAGCACAUUUUCUUUCUUU